UACGAAGGGGGCUAGCGUUGUUCGGAAUUACUGGGCGUAAAGCGCACGUAGGCGGAUUGUUAAGUCGGGGGUGAAAUCCUGGAGCUCAACUCCAGAACUGCCUUCGAUACUGGCGAUCUCGAGUUCGGGAGAGGUGAGUGGGAACUGCGAGUGUAGAGGUGAAAUUCGUAGAUAUUCGCAAGAACACCAGUGGCGAAGGCGGCAUCCUGGACCGGCAUUGACGCUGAGGCGCGAAAGCUAGGGGAGCAAACGGG
rnacentral:rRNA from 1 species